rnacentral:antisense_RNA from 1 species
GUUGACCGAUCCAAGGUCAUGCACAUAGGGUCUAAGACGGAAGAGAACUUCCUGCCCCUCUUGGAGCUUCUAUUUUAGAGGGAGACACGGCCAGACAGGUCUCGAACUCCUGGCCUCAAGUGACCCGCACACCUUGGCCUCCCCAAAUGCUGGGAUUCCAGGCGUGAGCCACCGCGCCUGGCCUGUCCUAGGGAGAAUGAGCCUGAUGACUUUACCAUUUUCCACCUCUAAGAGCCAAUUGCAAAGGAGGCUGGCUGGCAUCUUGUGUCUGUCUAGCAUCUCUGCCAGUUUCUGUAGAAAACCCUCAAGCUGUGCCAAGACGCUCAUGUCUGUGGACACAGCUCUUGGUGUCAGGGGGUGUCUCCUUCUACUGCCUAUCGCCCUUUGCAGCCACUGGAAUAAUCUUGCAGGAGCCAGGGCCCAAUAUUAUCUACCACUGUCCAUCUGUUCUCCAGCACAUCAGAGCAGCCCUUCCCCUGUGUGAGAUUCCUCUCUAGGGCAAGACUGAAGGGAGCAUCAAGGUUGCAAUGGAAGAAAUAAAUUGGAAGUGGAGCUGC